UCUACAGGUUUCCGUAGGUGACCUGCGGAAGGAUCAUUG
rnacentral:rRNA from 1 species